UUCCUACGGGAGGCAGCAGUGGGGAAUAUUGCACAAUGGGGGAAACCCUGAUGCAGCCAUGCCGCGUGUGUGAAGAAGGCCUUCGGGUUGUAAAGCACUUUCAGUUGUGAGGAAAGGGUGCUGGUUAAUACCCAGUAUCUGUGACGUUAGCAACAGAAGAAGCACCGGCUAACUCCGUGCCAGCAGCCGCGG
rnacentral:rRNA from 1 species